CUCUUGUAAAACUAAAACGGCUAAAAUAUGUCCAUUCAAUUUUAAUUUUAUUUUUACAACGUACAAAAUAUCCAAUUAGUAAAGAUGACUGUUUUGAAGGUUGGGAUGAUCUGUCAGGUAGAUGUCAGGCCAAGUGUACUGACUAGUGAGUCUGCUGUGAAACCGUCUACACUCAUGCUCAUCUCCUUCUUUUCCACUGCUGGUCUGUCUUCUGAAUUCUCUCCACUGACCUACCAUUUACCGACACCUAGAAAUGCUCCAGCUCCACGAAGUUGAUAUGCAUGUUGUCAUUAACAAUGUAUAAUCUACAAGGCUGUUACAUAUGUUAUAAAUCCAUAUAUGUAUUUAGCAGUCAUAAUUGAUCAUAAAUAUUUAAAUUAAUUAUAAUUAAGGUCUUGGUUGAGAUGAAAAAAUUAGUGUCACAAGGGGGAUUCGAAUAUACUAUCUUCAGCUCAAUAUGCCACAGCAGCGAAGGUCGUGGGUCCUUCUUGUGACACAGUUUUUUUCAUCUCAAUCAAGACCUGUUAUAAAUGUUGUAAAUAUAUGAAUAAAUAUUCUUAAUCAUAGUAAGAUAAGAUUGUUAAAUCAAAAUAAGAAUAUUGUAAAGAUUCAGAUGUUAUAAGUUUUAUAAAUAUUUUUAA